GACCGGUUGGCGCAAUUGGUAGCGCGUCAGAUUCCAGCAUCCAUCCUGGAACCUCCUGAAGGUUAUCCGUUCGAGUCGGGUAUCGGUCA